GAUGAACGCUUGCGGCGUGCCUAAUACAUGCAAGUCGAGCGGCAGCACGGUCUUCGGACUGGUGGCGAGCGGCGGACGGCUGAGUAACGCGUAGGAACAUGCCCCAAAGUGAGGAAUAACUGCCCGAAAGGGUGGCUAAUGCCGCAUGUGGUCUUCGGGGAAAAGGAUUUAUUCGCUUCAGGAUGGACUCGCGUCCAAUUAGCUAGUUGGUGAGGUAACGGCCCACCAAGGCGACGAUUGGUAGCCGGACUGAGAGGUUGAACGGCCACAUUGGGACUGAGACACGGCCCAGACUCCUACGGGAGGCAGCAGUGGGGGAUAUUGCACAAUGGGGGAAACCCUGAUGCAGCGACGCCGCGUGGAGGAAGAAGGUUUUCGGAUUGUAAACUCCUGUCGUUAGGGACGAUAAUGACGGUACCUAACCAGAAAGCACCGGCUAACUACGUGCCAGCCGCCGCGGUAA
rnacentral:rRNA from 1 species